AAGCCAAUGAGGAGAUUCAUAUUUUGUAAAGUUGGAAUUACCGUCUGAAUCAUCAUAUUGAUGAUAGAUCGACUAUCUGAGGCUUCGU